rnacentral:rRNA from 1 species
UACAGAGGUCUCAAGCGUUGUUCGGAUUCAUUGGGCGUAAAGGGUGCGUAGGUGGCGCGGUAAGUCGGGUGUGAAAUUUCGGAGCUUAAUUCCGAAACUGCAUUCGAUACUGCCGUGCUUGAGGACUGGAGAGGAGACUGGAAUUUACGGUGUAGCAGUGAAAUGCGUAGAGAUCGUAAGGAAGACCAGUGGCGAAGGCGGGUCUCUGGACAGUUCCUGACACUGAGGCACGAAGGCCAGGGGAGCAAACGGG